AUUGAACGCUGGCGGCAUGCCUUACACAUGCAAGUCGAACGGUAACAGGUCUUCGGAUGCUGACGAGUGGCGAACGGGUGAGUAAUACAUCGGAACGUGCCUAGUAGUGGGGGAUAACUACUCGAAAGAGUGGCUAAUACCGCAUGAGAUCUACGGAUGACAGCAGGGGAUCGCAAGACCUUGUGCUACUAGAGCGGCCGAUGGCAGAUUAGGUAGUUGGUGGGAUAAAAGCUUACCAAGCCGACGAUCUGUAGCUGGUCUGAGAGGACGAUCAGCCACACUGGGACUGAGACACGGCCAAGACUCCUACGGGAGGCAGCAGUGGGGAAUUUUGGACAAUGGGCGCAAGCCUGAUCCAGCAAUGCCGCGUGCAGGAUGAAGGCCUUCGGGUUGUAAACUGCUUUUGUACGGAACGAAAAGCCCUGGGUUAAUAUCCUGGGGUCAUGACGGUACCGUAAGAAUAAGCACCGGCUAACUACGUGCCAGCAGCCGCCGCGGUAA
rnacentral:rRNA from 1 species